rnacentral:ncRNA from 1 species
GUUCAAAAGAGGAAAGGCUUGCGUGUGAUACCUAGGCACCCAGAGACGAGGAAGGGCGUAGCAAGCGACGAAAUGCUUCGGGGAGUUGAAAAUAAGCAUAGAUCCGGAGAUUCCCAAAUAGGUCAACCUUUUAAACUGCCUGCUGAAUCCAUGAGCAGGCAAG